rnacentral:rRNA from 1 species
CCAAAAACUUAGCUCUCUUCCUCAAAUGAAAUUUUUUUAAACUAACAACUUUAUAAAACAUUUUACACUUCAAGUAAAGGCGAUUGAAAAAUGUCUAGAAGCUAUAGAAACCAGUACCGCAAGGGAAAAGUGAAAUAAUAAUGAAAAUUUUAAGCACAAAACAGCAGAGCCUAAACCUCGUACCUUUUGCAUCAUGGUUUAACGAGUCUAACCAAGCAAAACGCACCUUAAGUUUGACUUCCCGAAACUAGACGAGCUACUUAAGAACAGCCUUAUGGGCCAACCCGUCUCUGUUGCAAAAGAGUGGGACGAUUUUUAAGUAGAGGUGACAAACCUACCGAGUUUAGAGAUAGCUGGUUAUUCAGGAAAAGGAUCUAAGUCCUACCUUAAAUUUUCUGUAUCUUCUAAUACAC